rnacentral:rRNA from 1 species
GGGUUGUGAGGUUAAGCGACUAAGCGUACACGGUGGAUGCCCUGGCAGUCAGAGGCGAUGAAGGACGUGCUAAUCUGCGAUAAGCGUCGGUAAGGUGAUAUGAACCGUUAUAACCGGCGAUUUCCGAAUGGGGAAACCCAGUGUGAUUCGUCACACUAUCAUUAACUGAAUCCAUAGGUUAAUGAGGCGAACCGGGGGAACUGAAACAUCUAAGUACCCCGAGGAAAAGAAAUCAACCGAGAUUCCCCCAGUAGCGGCGAGCGAACGGGGAGCAGCCCAGAGCCUGAAUCAGUGUGUGUGUUAGUGGAAGCGUCUGGAAAGGCGCGCGAUACAGGGUGACAGCCCCGUACACAAAAAUGCACAUGCUGUGAGCUCGAUGAGUAGGGCGGGACACGUGGUAUCCUGUCUGAAUAUGGGGGGACCAUCCUCCAAGGCUAAAUACUCCUGACUGACCGAUAGUGAACCAGUACCGUGAGGGAAAGGCGAAAAGAACCCCGGCGAGGGGAGUGAAAAAGAACCUGAAACCGUGUACGUACAAGCAGUGGGAGCCUCUUUAUGGGGUGACUGCGUACCUUUUGUAUAAUGGGUCAGCGACUUAUAUUCUGUAGCAAGGUUAACCGAAUAGGGGAGCCGAAGGGAAACCGAGUCUUAACUGGGCGUUAAGUUGCAGGGUAUAGACCCGAAACCCGGUGAUCUAGCCAUGGGCAGGUUGAAGGUUGGGUAACACUAACUGGAGGACCGAACCGACUAAUGUUGAAAAAUUAGCGGAUGACUUGUGGCUGGGGGUGAAAGGCCAAUCAAACCGGGAGAUAGCUGGUUCUCCCCGAAAGCUAUUUAGGUAGCGCCUCGUGAAUUCAUCUCCGGGGGUAGAGCACUGUUUCGGCAAGGGGGUCAUCCCGACUUACCAACCCGAUGCAAACUGCGAAUACCGGAGAAUGUUAUCACGGGAGACACACGGCGGGUGCUAACGUCCGUCGUGAAGAGGGAAACAACCCAGACCGCCAGCUAAGGUCCCAAAGUCAUGGUUAAGUGGGAAACGAUGUGGGAAGGCCCAGACAGCCAGGAUGUUGGCUUAGAAGCAGCCAUCAUUUAAAGAAAGCGUAAUAGCUCACUGGUCGAGUCGGCCUGCGCGGAAGAUGUAACGGGGCUAAACCAUGCACCGAAGCUGCGGCAGCGACGCUUAUGCGUUGUUGGGUAGGGGAGCGUUCUGUAAGCCUGCGAAGGUGUACUGUGAGGUAUGCUGGAGGUAUCAGAAGUGCGAAUGCUGACAUAAGUAACGAUAAAGCGGGUGAAAAGCCCGCUCGCCGGAAGACCAAGGGUUCCUGUCCAACGUUAAUCGGGGCAGGGUGAGUCGACCCCUAAGGCGAGGCCGAAAGGCGUAGUCGAUGGGAAACAGGUUAAUAUUCCUGUACUUGGUGUUACUGCGAAGGGGGGACGGAGAAGGCUAUGUUGGCCGGGCGACGGUUGUCCCGGUUUAAGCGUGUAGGCUGGUUUUCCAGGCAAAUCCGGAAAAUCAAGGCUGAGGCGUGAUGACGAGGCACUACGGUGCUGAAGCAACAAAUGCCCUGCUUCCAGGAAAAGCCUCUAAGCAUCAGGUAACAUCAAAUCGUACCCCAAACCGACACAGGUGGUCAGGUAGAGAAUACCAAGGCGCUUGAGAGAACUCGGGUGAAGGAACUAGGCAAAAUGGUGCCGUAACUUCGGGAGAAGGCACGCUGAUAUGUAGGUGAAGUCACUCGCGGAUGGGGCUGA